rnacentral:rRNA from 1 species
UACGUAGGGACCGAGCGUUGUCCGGAUUCAUUGGGCGUAAAGAGCUCGUAGGCGGCCACUCAAGUCGAAUGUGAAACCUCGAGGCUUAACCUCGAGCCUGCAUUCGAUACUGGGCGGCUAGAGUCUGGUAGGGGGAUCUGGAAUUCCUGGUGUAGCGGUGGAAUGCGCAGAUAUCAGGAGGAACACCGAUGGCGAAGGCAGUUCUCUGGGCCGUAACUGACGCUGAGGAGCGAAAGCGUGGGGAGCGAACAGG